CGGUUGCAAAAACGUGCCCACGGGCCA
rnacentral:piRNA from 1 species